rnacentral:rRNA from 1 species
UACGUAGGGUGCAAGCGUUAAUCGGAAUUACUGGGCGUAAAGCGUGCGCAGGCGGUGAUGUAAGACAGGUGUGAAAUCCCCGGGCUUAACCUGGGAACUGCAUUUGUGACUGCAUAGCUAGAGUACGGUAGAGGGGGAUGGAAUUCCGCGUGUAGCAGUGAAAUGCGUAGAUAUGCGGAGGAACACCGAUGGCGAAGGCAAUCCCCUGGGCCUGCACUGACGCUCAUGCACGAAAGCGUGGGGAGCAAACAGG